AUACGGAGGGUCCAAGCGUUAUCCGGAUUCAUUGGGUUUAAAGGGUCCGCAGGCGGGAAAUUAAGUCAGUGGUGAAAGCCUACAGCUCAACUGUAGAACUGCCAUUGAUACUGUUUUUCUUGAGUAUAGAUGAAGUGGGCGGAAUAUAUCAUGUAGCGGUGAAAUGCAUAGAUAUGAUAUAGAACACCGAUUGCGAAGGCAGCUCACUAAACUAUUACUGACGCUGAGGCCCGAAAGCGUGGGGAGCAAACUGGAUUAGAAACCCUAGUAGUCC
rnacentral:rRNA from 1 species